rnacentral:rRNA from 1 species
CCAAUAGCGUAUAUUAAAGUUGUUGCAGUUAAAAAGCUCGUAGUUGGAUUUCUGUUAAUAAUUUAUAUAUAAUAUUUUAAUAUAUUUAUAUAAUAUUAACAUAAUUCAUAUUACUAUUUUUAGUAUGUGAAAUUUUACUUUGAGAAAAUUAGAGUGCUUAAAGCAGGCAUAUGCCUUGAAUACUCCAGCAUGGAAUAAUAUUAAAGAUUUUUAUCUUUUUUAUUGGUUCUAAGAUAAGAAUAAUGAUUAAUAGGGACAGUUGGGGGCAUUUGUAUUUAA